GACGAACGCUGGCGGCGUGCUUAACACAUGCAAGUCGAACGGUAAGGCCCUUCGGGGUACACGAGUGGCGAACGGGUGAGUAACACGUGGGUGAUCUGCCCUUGACUCUGGGAUAACUGCGGGAAACUGUAGCUAAUACCGGAUACGACCCUCGGCGGCAUCGCCAGGGGGUGGAAAGAAUUUCGGUCAAGGAUGGACUCGCGGCCUAUCAGCUAGUUGGUGAGGUAACGGCUCACCAAGGCGACGACGGGUAGCCGGCCUGAGAGGGUGACCGGCCACACUGGGACUGAGACACGGCCCAGACUCCUACGGGAGGCAGCAGUGGGGAAUUUUGGACAAUGGGGGCAACCCUGAUCCAGCCAUUCCGCGUGAGUGAAGAAGGCUUUCGGGUUGUAAAGCUCUUUCGGCAGGAACGAAACGGCGAGCUCUAACAUAGCUUGCUAAUGACGGUACCUGAAGAAGAAGCACCGGCUAAC
rnacentral:rRNA from 1 species